rnacentral:lncRNA from 1 species
ACAAAUUAAUACAGUUUAAUUCACUUGGGAAACAAAGGGCCUUGUUCUUGAAAAAUCACAUCACUUUCUUUUUUAUAGGAUAAUGUCUCUGAAAACUAUAUAUUGUUUAUAUUACGAGACUCUUCAUUAUUUAUGUCUCGUUAUGACAUAAAUAUAAAUAUGAUGUUCCAAAAAUAUAGAAAAAUCUUUGAGAAUAUUAAACACACAAUAUGUCGGAUGAUUCUUACUGAAGGAUAUAUGGGAAAUCACAUUUCUGCACCUAAUGGUACAUAAAUCAGCACUGAAGGAUAUCUCUCUAGGAGUGAAGAACUUCAUAAAACCAAACAAACAUAGUAUGACAUAUUUUUUAUGCCUUUGGAAGAAUGGCUUACACAGUACACACACAAAUAUAGUAUAUAUUCCUUCAAUAUCUGCAUGCAUGUAACUAACAGUCCGGGCACAUCAAGAGAAAGUGAAAACUGAGGAAAAAAAUAUUCAGAGUUGCUGCCAUUAGUCUUUAUAUACAUCAAUCUUGCACAAUAAAAGAAAAGAGAGAUUUGAAAAUGAAGACAAGGGAACCCUGUAAUGGUGGAUGCUGCUAUUGCUUACUUGUUGGAUUCAGGAUUGGGCCCACUAGGCACUUCAUGAACAUCUGCUUCAAACCGUCCAUCUGUAGCACCAUUUUUUCCGGGGCUUUGAGCUGCUGGGAUCGACGUGGAAGAAGUCGAGAAUGGGUGCAAAUUUCUCGUAGUAGAGGAAGAGGAAUAGAUGGGACGAGCAAAGAGAGGAGAAAUGAGGAGGAGGAGAACGAAAAGCCGUAGUAGGGCAUAUGAUUGUGAAGACAAUAUUAUGGAAGUUGAGUUUUCAGAGAUUGAUUUGUGAGGCAUCGCCAUGAAAUGAAAUUGUAGUGAGAAAUUGGAAACCACCCUGACCCCCCAGUAGUAACCCAGAAGGGAUCAAUAUCCAUGAACCAGUCGGACCACAACCAAGUCUGGGUUUUUUUUUCCGUAAAAGAAGAAAAAAAACAAGAAGUUAUGAUGGAAUUAACGGUGGAGUUUGUGAAAGUUGAAAAAUAAAGUUUUGAUGCAUUCCAUGAACUUAUGUUAACGAGGUUUUCAAGUUAAA